UCAGAUGCUUCAUGAAAUUCAUUCAACUUAGAGCUGUAAUCUACAGCUAGGAGAAAAUGUUUUCCCGUCGUGUUGCCUAUUGAUAAUUUGGUCUUUCUCAUGAGCACCGUAACUGGGUAGUAGAGGGAAGAUAUUUACUCCUAUCAGAUUCAAACUUAAUAUAACACGAGCUUUUAAUGGUCCUUCUAGGUAAUGCCCACGCUUGGAGAGAAAAUGUUCAGUGGAUCAGAUCCUCCCAUGUUCCAAGCCUCACCCUGGCCCCUCUCUAAGAUGGCAUCUGGGUGCCUGGGUGAGGGAGGCCAUUUGGGCCACCAUGGGGGUGAGGGGAAUAGCCUCUCUCUAACUGGAUGUGGUUGGCCCUGCUGGCACAGGCACGUGAGAUUUUUUCCUUGUAGUCCUUCAUGAUGAACUUGGCCUCUGUGGGAUCUCACUGGCGUUUGGAUCUCCCGAGUCUGUCUUCCUUGCAGCCCCGGCCAUAGUCGGCCUCAUGGCCAGUUCAGUUCCAAAUCCUCCUCUCUGGGGGCUCCUGGACCCUCAGGGCAUAGUCAAAUGUCAAGGAGCAGUCAAGCAAGUAGAUGUCAAGGCCUCCUCUGCUCAGCCAUUCUGCACAUUCUGGUUUAUUCUGACAUGACUUGAAGUUGGUUCAGAGAAGUUUGAGGUCCCAAAGGGAGACAGAGGUGCUUUCGAUGUCCCCUUACUGAACCGAUCUUCUCGGGUCUAGGGCAGAGCCUGGAGGCAGGAAACUGGAGGGCAUGGGCCUCAGCACCAUGAAUCCAGCCAGCAUAGAAAUAUUUGAUUCUACUUACACAUUAACUUUUCAUCACCGUGGUUUUUAGACGACCGGAUGGGAGAGCCUUUGAAGUCACAGUGUGUCUGACGGUGUCGGAGUCUUUCCCCCCUCUCUGCCUCCUCUGAAGUGGAGCAAGGCUUCUCGGGAGAGGGAGAUGGCCUCAGAUGCGGAGGCAGACACACACGUCAUCACAUCCUCGCCACACCUUCUGUGGCUGGUGUGGAUGUUUAAGGCAAACCAGGGUAUGGUUUAUGCUGCCCGGGGGUGUCGAGAAUCGUUUCAGAGAGAUGGAAACAGACCUUCCCAUGAAACAGGUGUGAGUACACGUUAAACUGGAUUGACAUGAACAUGUCUUGCCAAACACUGUGUCUUGUUGUUGAGGGCUGGGUCACGUGUCUUCUUCAGUCAAAUGCUUCGACCCACUGAUUUUUUUUUUUUUUUUUAAGAUUUUAUUUAUUUAUUUGACAUAGAGCAAGAGCAAGAGCAAGAGUGAGAGAGAGAUCAAGCAUGGGCAGGGGAUGGGGCAGAGGGUGGGGGAGAGGCAGACUCCCUGCUGAGCAGGGAGCCUGGUGUGAGACUUGAUCCCAGGACUCUGGGAUCAUGACCUGAGCUGAAGGCAGAUACUUAAUGACUGCCCUUGACCCACUGAUUUUUAUACUUGAACUAACUUUAAGAUUCUUCUGGGCACAAAUCACAUACAAACUAUCUAAUUUGGACCUGAGUAUUCUAAUUGAAGGCUCUGCAUGGGUGUAAAUCAAUGUUGCAACUUUUUAUUGCUAAUCUUGAAUUUUUUUUUUUAAAGAUUUUAUUUAUUUACUUGACAGAGAGAGAUCACAAGUAGACAGAGAGGCAGGCAGAGAAAGAGAGAGGGAAGCAGGCUCCCUGCUGAGCAGAGAGCCCGAUGCAGGACUCGAUCCCAGGACCCUGAGAUCAUGACCUGAGCCGAAGGCAGCAGCUUAACCCACUGAGCCACCCAAGCGCCCAAUCUUGAAUUUUUUUAAACAAAGUAAAAUAUAUAAGAUGGUUGGGCACUAAACUUGCAAAGCAUUAUGUUUGGUUUGAUGCCUGCUUGUGACUUCGUCAUGCCAGCUCUUUUCCUCUAGUUUGCCUGAUGCAGACUUACAAUUCCAUCCAAAGCAAAUAUAGCAGGAUUCCACUAGAGGGAGGAAAAGAACCAAUUUUGAACAUUUUCAAGGGAGCUGGUCUUGUGCAGAGAUAAUCACUUCCCUCAUUACACACAAACCGUGCUUGGAAAAACAACAGUGAUUUCUUUCAUUUUUAUUUAAAUGUCUGCUCUAAUGGGAGAACAAAGAACAAAACAUGGAACAUUUCUAGGUCAAAGUAGCAUGUCUUUAAAGGUGGCUAAUUUCUUGCUUCAAGAAUUCUAAAUACAGCCCCGGGGUCAGAAAAAUAUUCAAAGAAAGACCUUAGUGAUCAGCGAACUCAAUCUCUUUCUUUAACAGUCGUGGAAAAUGAGUCCAAGAGGAAGACUUGUGCUGCCUCGGGUCGUAGGGUUCGUUAGCAGCAGAGGCAAGAAUGGAAGGAAGUUUUCGGGAUCUUUCUCCAGGGCUCUUUGUAACACAGUAGACCGUGUCAGCAACGCUGAUGUGUUGAAUGUCAUAGGCACCUCCAUAGACAUAUUUGUGUACAUCCAUAUGCAAGCAUACAUUUUCUUCCUUGUGAGGUUUAUGAUUAGAGAUCUGGCUUUAAGGAACAUUCUGGGGCUUUUAUGUUCUUGUUUAUUUGCUUUUAAAACCUCCCCUCCUGAGCCCCUUCCUUAUAUAACUCAAAAUGCAACCGGCACUGUGCACGUAGGGUAUGGCUAAUGGAUUCCACAAGGUCUGAGCUCUUGUAAUGACUGCCCAAUUACCAAAAUACCAUGGUUUAGAAAACACAUCGUAAACUUCCCUGUGAAGCCUCCAAGAUUUUUAUUAACAUACGUGAUAUUAAUGGUUGUGCUUAUUCUGCCAUAAUUGAGGGCGUGUCCCAUUUCUCUGAAAUAAUAAGGCAUUUGGAGGAACUAUCAAAUUUCACUUUUGGCUGAACCUGGUCUAUAAGCUCUUCCAACUGUAAUGCAUUUUGUGUUCAUCUUUGGGGUAGGAAAGAUUAUUUUCUGAGUUUUAAUUGGAAGAAAAAAAAAAAAAAAAGCCCUCCCAAAUAUUCUAGUCAGCUGUUAAAAAAAGAAAAGCAACCCCAAAACGUGGAUUUGUUUGAAGGCAUGGAAUAUUUCUUUCAGCAUUUUCUAUAGUCAGAGCUUUAUUAAGGAGUUUUCCGCAUGCUGCCAAAUAUUCUGACUCGGGGCUCUGGUCUCUUUCUACCUGGAGAAAACUUGCAUAAAAGACGAGGUUAGGGUUUGGUAGAAAAUUCGGAGACGGGUUUCAGGAACAGGGGUCGUUCUUUCAAUAAACGACGUGCGUGAGUAAGACGUGAUGCGGGAGCGAACGGGCUGCAGCAGGUGUCGGAAUCGGCCUCCACUGAGCGGCCACAUGACCUUGCGUAAGUCCCUCUGCUUGUGAAACCAGAGUUCAGGCUGGAAGGGGUCCCAGAGCUCGCCCUUCCCCAGGCCGUGAGGUCAUCAUUGCGGAGUGGAUGGAACUCUGUCAAGUCCUAACAGGAUCCCACCGGGGUCGGCUCUUUCUAUAGCACCUCCAUACUGUUUCACGAACUUGGGAAGCACGCGGUGGGGAGGUAAGGUGAUGCCAAACGCCCUUGCUCCCACAGAACUUUGAGGUGAAUGAGUCUUUUAUUUAAAAAAUCCCUUGAAAUUGCCUAGUGGAGUCUAGUGCGACAUCGUGACUGAGGAGGGACCAGUUCUCAGGGGGCCAUCACCACGGCCCCUGGAGCACCCAUUCUGCGUGCAGCUGCACUGGCCUCUUGGCUGGCGCCCCCCGCCCCCCCCCACUGCCCCCAGUUGUCUACUUGUCGCUCGGCACCGAUCUGAUCCUGCAAGCCGCCUCGAAUGGAUACCACCCUCGGGGUCCUUAUUUGGGUCUUCUUUCAAGUCCGUUUGGCGUUACCAUCGCUCAGUCUAAGAUGCCAUCCCCUCUUUCUCUUCCUCUUAGCGCUACCUGUCUCUACCCCUGACUGUCCAUGCCUGUGUCUCUGUCCACAUCUCCAUCUGUCAUACCCAUCCGUAACUGCAUCUGCACCUACAUAUCCACACCAAGAACUGUAUCUACAACAACAUUUGUAACCACACCCAUAACUGUAUCCAUAUAUGUUUGUAUUUCUAUAACUCUAUCUGUAACUUAUAUGUGCUUAUUUGUACCUGUGUCCUAGAAUGUACACGGCAUGAAGACAGAGGCUUGGCUUGGCUCCUUGCUGUCACCCCAGUGCCCUGAACAGGGCCAGCAUAGAACAGGAGUCCAAUAAGUAUUUGUCCAAUGCAGGAACGGAUCUCCUGCCUGUCAGACUCAGGCUGGGAUUUGGGUUGUGGCUUUUGUUAGCUCUGUGGACAAGUGACUUAACUCUAGUGUGACUUUAUUUUCCAAUUUCUCCACCGAGGACAUCAUCGUGUUCCUCGGAUAUCUGAUGCGAGAGAGAAAUCAGGCACCGUGAUGAAAAAUCCUUGCCCAGAAAAGGCACCGUGUUGAGGUCCGCUUCCUUCUUUCUCCUUCCAUCGCGCUGAGCACCUCUGACGCUCACACAUCUCUGGGCUGGAAGGGAAGCACAGCUCUUCACAGUCACGGCAGACUUAUUUUGGGAGUCGGCAAACCUGCUCUGGAAAAUGAUCGACCUACACUUUGUUUUCUACAGGAGGCUCGCUACAGUGCAGAGCAAGUUUAUCCCAGAGUUUAAGCAUGUCACCAGCCAGCCCAAGGUCCUAGGGCUCGUUCACAGGAAAGCCUGGAAUCAUCUACAGCCAGCGUAGCCUCGCAUCGCCCGUGCUACGAUGCCACAAGUGAUGGCAGAGUCCGUCUCGAUGACGCUCUAAGUACGUGAACUAGAAAGCAAGUACCUAGGUCUGCAGAACAUUGCAUUUGUGCGGCCCUUCGUGGUUGCAGAGGGUACUUUAAAAGGCCUCUCAGUGCGUCCCGAUUUCUAUCCUUUUGUAGCUGAAGCAGGAGAAGUUACAGACCUCCCCGCCGUCCCAGUUGAUGAGGAGUGGAGCCUGGAGCUCACUUCGGGACCCAGGACCGUAGAUCUUCGCUCUUUCCGCUCUUUUCCUUGGCCUUCCCGGGAGGAAAGUUCUGGUCGCGCAGACUUGUUUAUUCAGGCACAGAGUCUCUGCUAAGUGCCGGUGACUCUAGAAGUAGUUGCGAGCACACAGCCUCAGACAGACAGGGACCCGGCCCCCCUCUCUGGGGGAGGGACACAAGAAUGAAGAAGGAACCUUCGGAGGAUACCAGCGCCAACCGGGAAGCGUUUGAGGGAGCCUGGGAGCCCCAAGCUGGGGGAAGCGUUGAGAUUUCAGAUUGGGUUUUGUGUGAAGUCUUCUCUGCUCCGGUACUAUUUGAGCCCCUGAGGGGAGUGGGGAGGCAGCUGUCCAGUUAUCAGGGAACAGGGGCCCGGAAGAGGCAGUGGCCCGGGCAAAGCUCCUGAGAUAAUGAACUUUGCUUGAUGUGUCCAGGGCUCCGAAGGCGGCGAGAGGGGCUGUGUCAGCCAGGGAGCCGAUGGCUCCACGCGGAGGGGACAAGGCCUGGCUGGUGCCGCAAACCUGAGGCUUUGGUGCCCGCUGGCAGCUGCAGAAAAGUUUCUUUUAAAGAGCCAAUUCUGUGUCGUUGAGGCACGCUGUGUUUCCUGAGGUCGGUGAAGCCGGGGGACGGACGCCAGCUCCGGGCCUUUGUCCUCGGAGUGUCGGGACCCGGCCGGCCUGGGGGAGUUCGUGGCGUGAACCUGUGUCCCGCCUUCCCUUGAAGACCCGAGUUGAGCCUGCUCUUGGCUUCCCGUAGUCUUUCCCCAGCGAUUCAGCUCUUCCCGGCAGCUGCCACACACGGCUGCCGUGUUUCCCAGAAGAGCCCGGGUUCUCCGGGUCCACACACGCGUUAUCCGCAGCGCAGUGAAAUGUCACAAAGUCACACACGCCGUUUUAAUUAAUAGGAUUCGUAAGUGCUCACUGGGAGUCAGCACUAGAGAAGCCACUUUUUUCUUCCCGACAUUUCUGCAGCACGCCCCAACAUUUGCAAUAUAUUGUUCUUUUACUGUCCCGCUAAGACUGUAAGUAGCCGAGGAGAGACGCCCCUUCCCUCCCCCUCCCUCUUUCCCUCGAGCUCUCUCUCUCUCUCUUUUCUUACUGUUUUCUUUCUUCUUUCAGGAGGAAAUGGAAAGUCAAGUGGUAUUGAGUACGGUGGGAAGUGCUGGAAUUCUAGAGGCCCAGGCAGCUUUUUCUGGGAGGUCUGGCCAGACCCCUCGAGAAAGGGGCAUCAGCACCGGGUCAGGCUGUGGGGGUGAGGCAGCAGGGGCUUGCUGAGUCUGCAGCUGCUCUCGGAGGGGGGGUCCUCUUUGCCCCCAGGGACACGCUGGUGGUGGGUGGGGCCUCUGGCAAGCGGGGUUCAGGUCCAGGAGGGUCCUUAACUCGAGGACUAAAUUCGGGGAAAUCGUCGGCCGGCUCUAGCGUACCAAGGGGCUGGAUUUUAGGCGAUGGCGUUUCUGCAGCUCUCACGUCCUGCUGUGUGUGGCUCUGACCACCUUAGAGACAUUAACUCUUUUCAUUUUCCAGACAACCUGGGAGGCAGGUAGCACGGGCAUCUGCAUUUUGCUGAUGAAUCGAGGAAGAUCCGGGGAGGCUCAGUAGCUCACUGGAGGCCACAGGCCAGUGCCCGCCCGGCGGCAGGAAUUCCAUUCCCAGGGCUCUGCCUCCUUAGCGUGGCUUUUAAAUUCUACGCGGGGCCUCCGGGUGCAGGAGUGUAAGCUCCCCGCUCCCGCCCACCCGUCUGAUGAGUAGGAUUUUAUGAGGUGAGAUUUCAGCCAGCAUGGAAAACUCCUGUUCUAACCCUUUAAGUCAAGCUGCACACGCCUGUCUCUCAGUCCACCUUCACUUUGGGCAGAUUUCCUGCCGGAAACAUCCACCGAGCUGGUCAGCCUGGGGAGGCCUCGGGCACAGGGGCCGGCCCCCAGCCAGCACUGGGAUUUGUUAUCUCUAAACUCCUGGGGGUCCGCAGGGGCUCCUGGGGGCGAGGCGGCUGGCCAGCGAGGGCUCCUACUGGCCACUAGCUACAGCCACCAAUACGGACCCCACAUGGAGUCACGAGUCCCCAGGGGUCUCAGGAUCACAGGGGCGCAGGUAGAGAAGCAGCUGUAAGUGCCCCUCCCCACCUGCUCACCCGUCCGCCCACUCCCCUCGCCUGGAAGCUGGAACCUUCUCCCAGCAAGAGGCAGGGGCCCCUGUGAGGAAUUGCUCAGACUCUGGCUCUUUCCCAGCCUCUUCCCCUUCAGUUCUCCUGAGAAGCACACAGGGCCCUGGGGCCUCCUCUCUGGAGGCAGUUCUUGGGGUUCUGGGGUUCUGGGGUUCUUCUUUCAGGCAAAAACACAUCUCAUUCCUUUAACUGUUGCUGCAGGUGUGCAUUUCCCUGUGCCGCUGGCCUCCGUCACCUGGAGGGAAGUGUGCUAAAUGGGAUCCUCUGUCACCUCAGGUCCCUGGGGCCCAUGGGUCCUCCUUCCUGGGGCUCCCCGAGGCUGGGAUCCUUCCCCUUUGUGGGCCUUACUGGUGCUGUCCCUCUGUCCCUGAUGCGAGAUGACCUGUGUCUGUCACUCCCAGGUCCCCCGCUGCCUUCCCAGCAUCUAAGCGGACGCUAGCCUCCUGCCGGUGACCCUGCUCUGCCCACCACUCCAUCCGCCUCCGUUUCUGAAAGUGGCCUCGCCGCUCAGGAGCUCUCACCGGACCUCUUUUCUUUUUACACGCAUUAAACGACUAUGCCUGGACCUGUGUUUUGUUUUCUGUUUGUUAAAACACGCGGUAGCCUCAUGCACAUGUUUUAUACUUUGUUUCUCACUUAAAAUACAACUUGGAAUUUUUCACAGGAGAACACAGGUUUCUAUUGAAUUCAUUUUCACAUCUGUAUGGUGUUUUCCUUGUAUAUGGCAAUCUUAAUUUAUUGGACAGAUUCCUUUUUUUUUUUUAAGAUUUUAUUUAUUUGUUUGACAGAGAGAGACACAGCGAGAGAGGGAACACAAGCAGAGGGAGUGGGAGAGGGGGAAGCGGGCUCCUGCUGAGCAGGGAGCCCAAUGCGGGGCUUGAUCCCAGGACCCUGAGACCAUGACCUGAGCUGAAGGCAGAUGCUUAACAACUGAGCCAUCCAGGCGCCCUUAACAGAUUCUUUUUAAAAUAUGUUUUACUUUUUGAAUUCUGUUAUAAUUAGCAUCCAGUGUUGUAUUAGCUUCAGGUGUACAAUACAGCGGGUGACUAAUUCUAUACAUUACCCAGGGCUCAUCCCUACGCAGCCGCCUUCACCCCAUCGCCAAGUUCACCCACCCCACCCCCCAUCUCCCCUCUGGCGACCAUCAGGGUGUUCUUUGUGGUUAAGAGUCCGGUUUUUUUGUUUGUUUGUUUGUUUGUUUGUCUCUUUUCAUUCUUUGUGUUUAGCAGAUUCUUGACUGACCGACAGUUGUUUGGGCUAUUAGCUAUAGUAAUCCUUGCAGCAAAUGCACACCGUUGUGUGUAUGUGUAUACCUAUGUGUGUGAGUGUAUGUGUAUACUUAAAUGUGUUUG